AGCCUUAUUCCCACAUGGUCAACAAGGAAACUGCGAGGCUGCGUGACAAGUGACGGGGGACCUUGGGAUCCAGGUCUCUCUGAUCCCAACGCGUAUCCGUGCUGCUGUCUCUGUUCCGUCUGCAUGUGCCACUGACAAUCCUGCUGAAUUUCAGCCUCGACUCUCCAGACUCUUCCCAACAAGGUACGUCCCUGCUCUGGUGGAGCCCUGACGUGUGUGAGCGUCGCCGCGGCAGCACACGCUGGGUCGCGCUGGGCUGAAAGGUCACACCUGUGAGCACAGUUUGUUCUGGGUCACAUAUCGGCAUGGCCCGCCCGUGUGCUGAUAACGUGGCCUUUCAGUCCCUCCGCGGCGCUGUAAUCAUUAACUGAGAAAUCGCAGUCGGCGGUAACUUGCCAGGACAGACUUUCCUUCAUCGCAGGGUUGAGUCGCUCGGCCUCCUUGAGCUCUAAGCCCCUCGGCACUGUAGCACAGGGACUCCGUGGCUGUGGCAGGUACCUGUGCGGAAGACGACAGCGUUCCCUGGAGCCAUCAGUUUUCUGGAAGGUGGAUCGCAGCUCCACGUGAGCCCGUGCAGGCAACCCAGGCAACCGCGCCUGUGGUUGCAGCUUAAACUGCCCUCCACCUGGUUCCCAGGGCGGCAGAGGAGCUGUGCUCUCGGGCCAGUGCUGCCCUCUGCUGGCCCUCCGGCGCCAGUGCUGCGGCAGCAGGAGGCUGCAAAACCCAUUUUGAAAACAGGAACUCCCUCCUACCUUCAGCGCAGGCUGCUUUCAUGCCCGUCUUCUGUGGUUGGAGCUGUAGGUGAUGCCAUGUUUCAUGUCACCGUCAUCUUGCCGAUCAAACCUUGGGUGCCUGUGAAAUGCGCAGCCUCGUCUCGGCCCAGGUCUUCCUCAGCCGCGGCCGCCCCAGCGCGGAGCACGCCAGCACCGGAGGCCUGAGCCCUGCACGCACAGGGACUUCCCCAACGCGUGUCUUAAGCAGGGAAGAGAAGGUGCUUCUUGUUUGUCUUUUUUUUUUAAUCCCUGUCUUUAUGACGCCAGUACAGUAACCGGAGGAAAAGCUGACUUCUAUUUCCUCUGUUGCUUGGCUGAUUUCCUAAGGGCUCACCUGUCAUUUCCGUUCCGGGUGCUGGUCUCCUAGCAAAGGCCCCCGAGGUCCCUGUGCUGGAGAUGCCUGCCAGCAGGUUGCCUGCCUUCACACCCCUGCCUGGUAGAGGCUUGUGCUCCUAAGUCAACCUCAAGGGAUCUGGGUUUUAUUUUGUCCCAGGAAAUGUUUUUUCAAGUGGCCAUCGUGUUUGGUCUGUGUUCCUUUUCUCUUAAACGCUCAACUCCCAACUCAACAUCAGAAGAAGGCACAGCACGGACUGCCGCCUGGCGCGGUGAGGGGGACAGGCAGGACUCUGGCCGCAUAGCCACCACUUACCGACUGUUUACAUUGUGCCGUUUCUAGUUCAAGCUGCUUCCGUUAAUUUUCACACCGACUCUGUGUGAUGGGUACUGUUAUUACCCGAUUUUACAGACGAGGAGACUGAGACGCCGAGAGCUAGAGGAACGUGCCCAAGGUUGUCCAAGGUUGACCAGGA